CAACUAUUCCCUCCAUCCAACAAAAGAUGUCUCAAGUUUGUUAAAAUUUGAAUGUAUCUAGACAUGACUUAAUGUAUAGAUGCAUUCAAAUUUAGUCAAAGUUGAGACAUUCUUUGUUGGACGGAGGGAGUACAUA
rfam:Brachypodium distachyon strain Bd21 chromosome 1, whole genome shotgun sequence.